rnacentral:rRNA from 1 species
AUGAACGCUGGCGGCGUGCCUAAUACAUGCAAGUCGAGCGAACGGACGAGAAGCUUGCUUCUCUGAUGUUAGCGGCGGACGGGUGAGUAACACGUGGAUAACCUACCUAUAAGACUGGGAUGACUUCGGGAAACCGGAGCUAAUACCGGAUAAUAUUUUGAACCGCAUGGUUCAAAAGUGAAAGACGGUCUUGCUGUCACUUAUAGAUGGAUCCGCGCUGCAUUAGCUAGUUGGUAAGGUAACGGCUUACCAAGGCAACGAUGCAUAGCCGACCUGAGAGGGUGAUCGGCCACACUGGAACUGAGACACGGUCCAGACUCCUACGGGAGGCAGCAGUAGGGAAUCUUCCGCAAAGGGCGAAAGCCUGACGGAGCAACGCCGCGUGAGUGAUGAAGGUCUUCGGAUCGUAAAACUCUGUUAUUAGGGAAGAACAUAUGUGUAAGUAACUGUGCACAUCUUGACGGUACCUAAUCAGAAAGCCACGGCUAACUACGUG